rnacentral:tRNA from 1 species
GUCAGAAAUAGUUUAAAUUCUAAAAUUUAAGUUUUGGAGGCUUGAGAUAUUUUUUUUUCUGAA